rnacentral:rRNA from 1 species
CCUGUAGCUUAACUGUGGGAAUUGCUGGAGAUACUAUUAGACUUGAGACCGGGAGAGGUUAGAGGUACUCCCAGGGUAGAGGUGAAAUUCUGUAAUCCUGGGAGGACCGCCUGUUGCGAAGGCGUCUAACUGGAACGGUUCUGACGGUGAGGGACGAAAGUUAGGGGCGCGAGCCGGAUUAGAUACCCGGGUAGUCCUAACUGUAAACGAUGCGGACUUGGUGUUGGGUGGCUUUGAGCUGCUCCAGUGCCGAAGGGAAGCUGUUAAGUCCGCCGGCCUGGGAAGUACGGUCGCAAGACUGAACUUAAAGGAAUUGGCGGGGGAGCACCACAACGCGUGGAGCCUGCCGGUUUAAUUGGAUUCAACGCCGGACAUCUCACCAGAGGCGACAGCUGUAUGGAUAGCCAGGUUGAUGACUUUGCUUGACUAGCCUGAGGAGUGGUGCAUGG